rnacentral:lncRNA from 1 species
UCAGUCAAGCUAAUAGACUAUCAGGAAAAAGAAUCCAGAAACAAUCGUAGAAUAUACUGCACGCAUUUGGACAACGUGCUGUUCUGCAGAUACAGUGUCUCCCUGGACACAAAAGGAGCAAACCGAGAAUAAUCACUUGAUCAGAGCAUCAAACAGAACCAGAUAUUUCUUCUCCACGAACACGUAUGGUCCAAGCUUAGCUAGAGACGCACACGCACUCUGAAAUUUUCAGACAAAGACAACUAAUUUUAUAUGAAAUCCUGCGCGUUUGACAUCCACUUAAAAAAGCUUUUGCUCAUGAUUUUGUCCUUUGCACAAUCUGAAGAGGCAUGUCGUUUUUGCUGCCUCCGGUGGAGAUGGAGUGGAUGCCCCAAUAAACAGUCGCCAAUUUGGUUAGGCCAUCAAGGCCGCCGCCGACCGAUCGACGUCAACAACACACCGGACCUGAUAGGGCGGGCAUGCGUUGAUCCAGGUGUCCAUCCAUCUCUGGCCUGAAUCAGUGGCUUUGGCACUACAAGCGGCUCAUUUAGUGGCUAAUAAUUCUUGUUUCAUGUUGUAAAAAGUUCAGAGUGGGGGCUGCGUGUCCACCUGUACCUUCAGGCUGAAAUGGCGGCCGAGUGCGUGACCGACCAGGGGGUCCUUUCAAGCUACCUGCAACAAGCACCCGCAGACGCACGCGCGCACGAAUCAGCUCGGAAAUAUCUAUACAGAAAAGAAGAAGAGGAAAAUCAGUUUUGUAUGGGCUCAUUUGAUUUGCAGAAUUCUAAAAACCUAGGAAUAAAAAACACAUAAAUAUGAUAGAAAUGCAUGUACAAAACGGAGGGAUUCUAUAAACUUUCAUGUUUAAUUCACAGGAAUAAGAAAAAUACAAAAAUCCUACUCCCUUCGAUCCAAACUGUUAAGGAUUAAUUAAAUCCUAAUAAUCAAUGCUUAGGUCGGUUGUUUAGUUUAAUGUAAUUACCGCCUCUGUACAUGGGUAUAAAUACCCUAUUCUUCAGUCAGUGCAGUUACUGUUCAAUCCAUUCGUUCCUCUCUCUCUUUUUCUUCUUUACACGUUAUCAACACUUUGCCCUAACCUGGAGCGAGCGAUUAGGCCACCCAC